AACAACCACCACAGAGACAGAAACAUAAGGCAGAAAAUUAGGUGACAGGUCAAGAAUAACAAUGGAAAGAACGGAAAGAAUGGAAAGAACGGAAAUAAAGAACCUCCACAGAGACAAAAACAUAGGGCAGAAAAUUAGGGGACAUUUCAAGAACAACUACAGAAAGAACGGAAAGAACCUCCACAGAGACAGAAACAUACGGCAGAAAAUAAGGUGACAGGUCAAGAACAACAACAGAAAGAACGGAAAGAACGGAAAGAACAUAAAGAACCUCCACAGAGACAGAAACAUACGGCAGAAAAUUACGUGACAGGUCAAGAACAACAACGGAAACAACGGAAACAAGGGAAACAACGGAAACAAUGGAAAC
ensembl:lncRNA